rnacentral:rRNA from 1 species
AACAGGAUUAGAUACCCUGGUAGUCCACGCCGUAAACGAUGUCGACUUGGAGGUUGUUCCCUUGAGGAGUGGCUUCCGGAGCUAACGCGUUAAGUCGACCGCCUGGGGAGUACGGCCGCAAGGUUAAAACUCAAAUGAAUUGACGGGGGCCCGCACAAGCGGUGGAGCAUGUGGUUUAAUUCGAUGCAACGCGAAGAACCUUACCUACUCUUGACAUCCACGGAAUUCGGCAGAGAUGCCUUAGUGCCUUCGGGAACCGUGAGACAGGUGCUGCAUGGCUGUCGUCAGCUCGUGUUGUGAAAUGUUGGGUUAAGUCCCGCAACGAGCGCAACCCUUAUCCUUUGUUGCCAGCGAUUCGGUCGGGAACUCAAAGGAGACUGCCGGUGAUAAACCGGAGGAAGGUGGGGAUGACGUCAAGUCAUCAUGGCCCUUACGAGUAGGGCUACACACGUGCUACAAUGGCGCAUACAAAGAGAAGCGACCUCGCGAGAGCAAGCGGACCUCAUAAAGUGCGUCGUAGUCCGGAUCGGAGUCUGCAACUCGACUCCGUGAAGUCGGAAUCGCUAGUAAUCGUGGAUCAGAAUGCCACGGUGAAUACGUUCCCGGGCCUUGUACACACCGCCCGUCACACCAUGGGAGUGGGUUGCAAAAGAAGUAGGUAGCUUAACCUCCGGGAGGGCGCUUACCACUUUGUGAUUCAUGACUGGGGUGAAGUCGUAACAAGGUAACC